rnacentral:rRNA from 1 species
UGCGCAGGCGGUUCGUCGUGUCCGAUGUGAAAGCCCGGGCUCAACCUGGGAAUGGCAUUGGAAACUGGCGGGCUUGAGUGUGGCAGAGGGGGUGGAAUUCCGCGUGUAGCAGUGAAAUGCGUAGAGAUGCGGAGGAACACCGAUGGCGAAGGCAGCCCCCUCGGGCUGACACUGACGCUCAGGCACGAAAGCGUGGGAGCAAACA